rnacentral:piRNA from 1 species
CAGAGCCAAGGAAGCUGCACAGGGACAAGGGCUGAUGAUAUUGAAAGUUCAUAUGGAUCAGGUGAUUUCACUGUGAAAGGCUUCCUCCACAGACUGAGCAUCAUCAAUGACUGGGCAAAAUUCCACUGGGCUCUUCUAGACUUUUUCCAAGGACUAUUUCUGGAAACAAACUUCAACAUUCCCAGAAAGUCACAUGAAGAGUUCACACCGAGUCUCAGAGGAGCCAAUGAACAAAAUCUGGGACUAUAAAGACCAUGAAGUCCUUUGAAGAGUGACUAAGCGCAUUGUACACCGAGAUGCACAGGAGCCUGUAGAAACUAAGACAUUUGGAGCAGCAGGAUGCCAUUGAGAAGAGGGCUCUCAAGAGAUGUAUGAAUGUCCUGCC